rnacentral:rRNA from 1 species
UACAGAGGUCUCAAGCGUUGUUCGGAUUCAUUGGGCGUAAAGCGUCCGUAGGUGGUUGAGUAAGUCAGUUGUUAAAGCGUGGAGCUUAACUCCAUAACGGCAAUUGAAAACUACUCGGCUAGAGUGCGAUAGGGGCAAGGGGAAUUCCCAGUGUAGCGGUGAAAUGCGUAGAUAUUGGGAAGAACACCGGUGGCGAAAGCGCCUUGCUGGGUCUGCACUGACACUGAGGGACGAAAGGCUAGGGGAGCGAAAGGG